GGAUGCCCUGGCAGUCAGAGGCGAUGAAGGACGUGCUAAUCUGCGAUAAGCGCCGGUAAGGUGAUAUGAACCGUUAUAACCGGCGAUUUCCGAAUGGGGAAACCCAGUGUGUUUCGACACACUAUCAUUACGUGAAUACAUAGCGUAAUGAAGCGAACCGGGGGAACUGAAACAUCUAAGUACCCCGAGGAAAAGAAAUCAACCGAGAUUCCCCCAGUAGCGGCGAGC
rnacentral:rRNA from 1 species